UACGUAGGGUGCAAGCGUUAAUCGGAAUUACUGGGCGUAAAGCGUGCGCAGGCGGCUUUGCAAGACAGAUGUGAAAUCCCCGGGCUUAACCUGGGAACUGCAUUUGUGACUGCAUUGCUGGAGUGCGGCAGAGGGGGAUGGAAUUCCGUGUGUAGCAGUGAAAUGCGUAGAUAUGCGGAGGAACACCGAUGGCGAAGGCAAUCCCCUGGGCCUGCACUGACGCUCAUGCACGAAAGCGUGGGGAGCAAACAGG
rnacentral:rRNA from 1 species